rnacentral:rRNA from 1 species
GAGGGAUAACUGCUCGAAAGGGUAGCUAAUACCGCAUAUGAUCUUCGGAUUAAAGCAUUUAUGCGCUUUGGGAGCGGCCCGCGUCGGAUUAGCUUGUUGGUGAGGUAAAGGCUCACCAAGGCGACGAUCCGUAGCUGGUCUGAGAGGAUGAUCAGCCAGACUGGAACUGAGACACGGUCCAGACUCCUACGGGAGGCAGCAGUAAGGAAUCUUCCACAAUGGGCGAAAGCCUGAUGGAGCAACGCCGCGUGCAGGAUGAAGGCCCUCGGGUCGUAAACUGCUUUAUAAGUGAGGAAUAUGACGGUAACUUAUGAAUAAGGAUCGGCUAACCACGUG